rnacentral:rRNA from 1 species
CACCCGCUCAUUCUAUACCCCAUUAUUUGCCCGACCUCUGUCUGCUCAGUUUUAGGUUGGGGUGACCACGGAGUAUAAAAUAACCUCCAUGAAGAAGGGGAUAUUUCCCUUAUUAGAGAACCACACUUCCAAGAACUAAUAAAUUAAUUUUCAAUGACCCGAUACCCGAUAAUCGAUCAACGAACCAAGUUACCCUGGGGAUAACAGCGCAAUCCACCCUGAAAGCCCUUAUUAACAGGUGGGUUUACGACCUCGAUGUUGGAUCAGGGUAUCCCAGUGGUGCAGCAGCUACUGAGGGUUCGUUUGUUCAACGAUUAAAACCCU